UAGGUGUCUGUAUAGCAUAGUGUAACAUA
rnacentral:piRNA from 1 species